rnacentral:rRNA from 1 species
GUGAGGAAUAUUGGACAAUGGGCGCAAGCCUGAUCCAGCCAUGCCGCGUGCAGGAAGACGCAUCUAUGGUGUGUAAACUGCUUUUGUACGGGAAGAAACACUCCCUCGUGAGGGAGCUUGACGGUACCGUAAGAAUAAGGAUCGGCUAACUCCGUGCCAGCAGCCGCGGUAAUACGGAGGACCCAAGCGUUAUCCGGAAUCAUUGGGUUUAAAGGGUCCGUAGGCGGUUUAAUAAGUCAGUGGUGAAAGCCCAUCGCUCAACGAUGGAACGGCCAUUGAUACUGUUAGACUUGAAUUACAAGGAAGUAACUAGAAUAUGUAGUGUAGCGGUGAAAUGCUUAGAUAUUACAUGGAAUACCAAUUGCGAAGGCAGGUUACUACUUGUGGAUUGACGCUGAUGGACGAAAGCGUGGGGAGCGAACAGGAUUAGAUACCCUUGUAGUCC